rnacentral:tRNA from 1 species
CUUUGGUGCAGUAGGUAGCGCAUCAAUCUCCUAAGCUGAAGGUCCUGAGUUCGAUCCUCAGAAG